UUAUGAUGCAAGGUGCGCAAGGGGUCGGGUUCUUCGGGAAGCAAAUAGUAGUUGUUCACCUCCCCAGUCAUGUUGAACCACUUUUCAUCCAUGUAGGCUAUGUUGUCUAAUUCCCGUGUCGCAGACCAAUAAUCUUCACACAUAGCCAAGCACCAUUUCAAUCUCUUUACAAUGUUGGAUAGGUUUAAGUGGGGCCUCAACUUAUUACUGUGACGCCUCAAAUGACCCCACUCGAACCUUGAGUGUAAGGUCGUGCAGCUUACACCCAAUGCCUUUGACAGACCUCGCAAUGUUCUCCUUCUGUUCAAUGGGAUUGUCACCAUCCUCGACAGAUCCAAAUCUUUCCGCUUGCGGCCAACUCUACCUGGCUUUUGAUUUGAGACAUCAACUUUCUCCCCUUUUUCAAUCUGUUUAAGAGCUCUUUCCCAUAUUCUCUCAACAGUUCUUACGGUUGUAUCGAGUAGGCUAGCAAUGACCUCCUUGUCUUUUUUCAGAACUUGUCCAUUUUGGGUCUUGAUCACCAUGAGUGCAAAAUAAAUACCAUAUCUCUCCUCAUUUGUGAGUUCCCCAUGAAUUGGUUUCUGUACAGCACUUGCUUCCUCAUGAAUUGCUUCCUCUACACCACUUGCUUCUUCAUGAAUUGGUUCCUCCACACCACUUGCUUCUUCCCCUGUCAAAUAAGGAGCAAAAGAUAAGUCAUGUAGCUAUUGCAAAUAAUAGGAGUAGAUCAUGGAAAUGAAAAUGAAAAUGCAAAACUUUUGGAGGUAGUACCUGUUGCUUCAUUAUUGACUGGUUCUUCAUUGUUGUAUCGUUGUUGACUGUUGUGUUCUUCCUGUUGAUCUGCAGGUUCUGAGGCAUUAUCUUGUUGAGGACUCAUGUUGAGAUCAAUCACAAACAUCAUUGCGGCGGUGGAGCACUUGCUCAGCAACAGCAACAGAGGCGGGGGCGGGCGCGGAGAGGAAGACCCUGGGCUUGGAGGAGAGGUUGAGCAGGGCCAACGCGGCGAUGAAGACCCUGGGCCAGAGUGGCGACGAAGACCCAGCGCCGCGACGGCGACCAAAAUUGUCCGCGGUGACGGCGGCCAAGGCGGACCAAAUCGAGGACCUAGUCGUCAAUUUACUGCUUCUUGGCACGAUUCAGAGGGAGGUGACGAAGAGGAAGAACUUUAGGAGCAAUCCCGCUGCUCAGGUAGGCGAGGGCACACCCAUGGCGGCUGCGCGCAGCUGGGCGGCGGCGCAAGGCGCCUCCGUGGAGGUUCUGCGCGUCUCCUCCGCGACGACGCAGGUCGUCUCCUGCACAGGCGGCUGGGUCCUGCAACACGCGGAGACUCUCUCUAGGUGCUGAGGAGAACGGGGGAGGAAGACGGGGGAUGGUGGCCGGAGCCGGCGACGCGCGAGGGACGGUGGAGAACUGAGGAAGGAGACGGGGGCGUUUUUUU